rnacentral:sRNA from 1 species
GGGACCGACGGCUGCAGAGAGAGACUGAGACGCAGGGAUGGAGGGGAGGGGGUACGCGGGAGACCGAGGGUGGCAGAGACGGAGACAAAGCUCCCGAGAGGGGAGCUGAAGCGGGAGAGACAGAGCCGAGGACGCGCGUAUGGGGAGGACGCAGAAGCCGCCGAAACAAUAAGGGCGACCGACACCUUAGACAGGGAGAGACAGAGACCUCGAUCAGCGGCCGGCCGUCGCGCCGAGGGACUACUGAUGGAGGGACUGAGAAAGGCGAGGCUAGGUCGAGACGUUGUUAUUGAAGAUGAUAGGAUUGAUGACGUGCUGAAAAAUAUGACCGACAAGGCACCUCCUGGUGUCUAACUCCCCCAAAGACAAUGAGUUAAGGGAGAGAAUAAGAACGGCGGUAACAGUUAUUGGCAAAAAGCAUGAAAAGAGAAAGCACUUUGAAAUUUAUUACUAGCUUGCUACCCACGAUGAAAUCAACAACCUGUAUCUGGUAUCAGGCCGGGAGACAGAUGAGGCGUGAGGAGGAGGAGGAAGAGAAGGCUCUGGGCUCCUCUGCAAAAAUAAAAAUAAAAAAAUAAAUAAAAUUUUAAAAAUAAUAAAAAUUCACUAUAUACACAUAUAAAGAAAUAAAAAGUCUCAGUUGCAGCUAUUUGUCAAAAUUAGUAUCUAUUUCUUUUUAUAUACGGUGAAUAUUGCGCAAUUAUAGAUCUGGAUUUUGAACCACUUAAUGAAGCGGCAACACCAGGUGUUUUGAGGUGUUGGCAUUCUUUGCUGAUUUGGCUGUUCCCAAUGUUUACAUUAUUUAAUCUU